rnacentral:tRNA from 1 species
GCGGAUGGCGUCGUUCUUGCUCAGUUGGUAGAGCGCGUGGCUUUUAACCAUGUGGUCGUGGGUUCGAGUCCCACGGAUGGCGC